rnacentral:tRNA from 1 species
GCCGGGGUGGCGGAACUGGUAGACGCGCCGGAUUCAAAAUCCGGUUCCCGUGAGGGAGUGCGAGUUCGAUUCUCGCUCCCGGCACCA